rnacentral:rRNA from 1 species
GACGAACGCUGGCGGCGUGCUUAACACAUGCAAGUCGAGCGGAAAGGCCCUUCGGGGUACUCGAGCGGCGAACGGGUGAGUAACACGUGAGUAACCUGCCUCUGGCUUUGGGAUAACCCUCGGAAACGGGGGCGAAUACCGGAUAUGACUUCUCACCGCAUGGCGGGGGGUGGAAAGUUUUUUCGGCCAGGGAUGGGCUCGCGGCCUAUCAGCUUGUUGGUGGGGUGAUGGCCUACCAAGGCGGUGACGGGUAGCCGGCCUGAGAGGGCGACCGGCCACACUGGGACUGAGACACGGCCCAGACUCCUACGGGAGGCAGCAGUGGGGAAUAUUGCACAAUGGGCGCAAGCCUGAUGCAGCGACGCCGCGUGAGGGAUGACGGCCUUCGGGUUGUAAACCUCUUUCGGCAGGGACGAAGCCUUUCGGGGUGACGGUACCUGCAGAAGAAGCGCCGGCCAACUACGUGACAGCAGCCGCAGUAACAC